GAGUAACACGUGGAUCAUCUACCUUCUGGUGAGGAAUACCCCUGGGAAACCGGGAAUAAUACCGCAUAAGCUCGAGAGAGGAAAGCAGCAAUGCGCCGGAAGAGGAGUCCGCGGCCGAUUAGCUAGUUGGCAGGGUAAAAGCCUACCAAGGCGAAGAUCGGUAGCCGGCCUGAGAGGGCACACGGCCACACUGGCACUGAAACACGGGCCAGACUCCUACGGGAGGCAGCAGUGGGGAAUCUUGCACAAUGGGGGAAACCCUGAUGCAGCGACGCCGCGUGAGCGAUGAAGCCCUUCGGGGUGUAAAGCUCUUUCGGCAGGGACGAUAAUGACGGUACCUGCAGAAGCAGCUGCGGCUAACUACGUGCCAGCAGCCGCGGUAAUACGUAGGUGGCAAGCGUUGUUCGGAGUUACUGGGCGUAAAGGGUGUGUAGGCGGUUGUUUAAGUUUGGUGUGAAAUCUCCCGGCUCAACUGGGAGGGUGCGCCGAAUACUGAAUGACUCGAGUGCGGGAGAGGAGAGUGGAAUUCCUGGUGUAGCGGUGAAAUGCGUAGAUAUCAGGAGGAACACCGGUGGUGUAGACGGCUCUCUGGACCGUAACUGACGCUGAGACACGAAAGCGUGGGUAGCAAACAGGAUUAGAUACCCUGGUAGUCCACGCCCUAAACGAUGCAUAUUUGGUGUGGGCAGUUCAGUCUGUCCGUGCCGGAGCUAACGCGUUAAAUAUGCCGCCUGGGGAGUACAGUCGCAAGGCUGAAACUCAAAGGAAUUGACGGGGGCCCGCACAAGCGGUGGAGCAUGUGGUUCAAUUCGACG
rnacentral:rRNA from 1 species